CUGAACUCAAUCACUACACCCCUAUAACACACACACUCCAACACACAUCAAUCUUUAUCUGCAAUUGCAGCUGUCUCUACUGCCUGACAAAACCAUCAAAGAUAAACUUCACUAAGAGAUAUUCCAGGAAUACUGGCCAUGAGGCAGGAAUACACCAUGGAUGGGGUGCUAGGUGAGCUGGGAGGAAACCAGGGAACCCGGAGGAUACCCACAGGGACACCGGGGGAACAUGCCGAUGUCCGGAUCGAACUGUGGCAAGGUUGUGUGUGCCUGUGCAACAUGAAGUUUUGUGUUGAUCUAUCCACUGACCUCCACUGACUUGAGAAAUCCAAUCAAUGGCCAUUGUGAUGCGAGCUCAUUCAUCC
ensembl:lncRNA